rnacentral:rRNA from 1 species
AUUGAACGCUGGCGGCAGGCUUAACACAUGCAAGUCGAACGAGUGGCGGACGGGUGAGUAAUGUCUGGGAAACUGCCUGAUGGAGGGGGAUAACUACUGGAAACGGUAGCUAAUACCGCAUACCAUCAGAUGUGCCCAGAUGGGAUUAGCUAGUAGGUGGGGUAAAGGCUCACCGAGGCGACGAUCCCUAGAUGGUCUGAGAGGAUGACCAGCCACACUGGAACUGAGACACGGUCCAGACGCCUACGGGAGGCAGCAGUGGGGAAUAUUGCACAAUGGGCGCAAUCCGGAUGCAGCCAUGCCGCGUGUAUGAAGAAGGCCUUUGGGUUGUAAAGCACUUUCAGCGAGGAGGCGUUACUCGCAGAAGAAGCACCGGCUAACUCCGUGCCAGCAGCCGCGGUAAUAC